ACGAACUUAGAACGCUGUAGGACGUCCACUAGCUUUUCUGGACUCGUGUAUAUAUUUAAAUCGGCUUGUAAAAGCCAUCAUCUGCUACGAAGCUGCCCAGACACGGAGCUCAGGACCUUUUACACUACAGGCCUGGCUGCUUGAAAAAGUCACCAACCAGAGGACAUCUCCGCUGCCGAAGGUGAUGAUGAAGCAAGAAUAUCAAUAAAGGUCCAACCCGCUCUCCUCUCCCCUUGUCAGCCACUCAUUCCAGCUGUGAGCCUCAUACUGCCAGGUCACCCUGGCGAGCCCGACUGCUGGUCCCACUGGUCCUGCUGAGGCGGCGUUUGUCC